rfam:Sorghum bicolor cultivar BTx623 chromosome 8, whole genome shotgun sequence.
UUAGCCAAGAAUGGCUUGCCUAUCUCCAUUAUUUGGUUCAUCAGAGGGACCUCUGAUCCCUCAUGAUGGAUGAAAUGUGGAUGAUGGCAGCCCUUCUGGCUAAGU